UACUUUUGUAUUUGACCACGUAAGACAAUUGGAUGGGCACCUAAUAUAUUUCCUGGUACACUCCUAUUGUGGUUGGUCUUCUUUAUCUGUAUGUCUAUCUUGUUCAGUCUGCGCUUCAGCUUUGCAGGAAAAUAGAAAUUUUUUUUUCUGUGCUUGUUUAUGCUAACCAUGGUGCCUACAACUGCAUCUGCUGCCUUUACACGGGACUGCAAACCUGUUUUUUUCAACCUUCUGUUUUAUGGGUGUGCACACCCAUAAAUCUCCUGUGGCUGGGUUAAGGGAACAUACAAGCAGCUCUUCAGCAUUAAGAAUGUGAUGGGAGAGAUUCAGGUAGAUUUGAACUGCCAUCAUCAAUCAAGACCAAGGAGAAGGCUGCUUUCCAGGAUGUACACAUGGCCUCUGUUUGCUGUUGCUGUUUUGCUUCUUUUAAGAGGUGAACCAAUAUAUGUAUGUCUGUUUCUACUGUCACUUGCAGCUCAACAGAACCCUGUAAUAUACAUGAACAAGUUUCUGGAAGUUAAGAGCAGGAAAUUCCACUGAAACAAAAUAGAACAUACCUUUAUGUUCUAUUGAGAGAGUGUGGAAGAAGAAAAUUCUGUAUUGGUUUUGACUAACAACAAGCUGCCGGAAGAUCUCUUUUUCUCCUACAGGUUAAUAAGGAGAAAAACUGAAGGGAGAAAAAAAUACAAUAACAGCGGGGG
rnacentral:lncRNA from 1 species